AUUGAACGCUGGCGGCAUGCCUAACACAUGCAAGUCGAGCGAGCGGCGGACGGGUGAGUAAUGUCUGGGAAACUGCCUGAUGGAGGGGGAUAACUACUGGAAACGGUAGCUAAUACCGCAUACCAUCAGAUGUGCCCAGAUGGGAUUAGCUAGUAGGUGGGGUAAUGGAUCACCUAGGCGACGAUCCAUAGCUGGUCUGAGAGGAUGACCAGCCACACUGGAACGGAGACACGGCCCAGACUCCUACGGGAGGCAGCAGUGGGGAAUAUUGCACAAUGGGAGAAAGCCUGAGGCAGCCAUGCCGGGUGUGUGAAGAAGGACUUCGGGUUGUAAAGCACUGUCAGCGGGGAGGCGUUACCCGAAGAAGAAGCACCGGCUAACUCCGUGCCAGCAGCCGCGGUAAUUC
rnacentral:rRNA from 1 species